rnacentral:tRNA from 1 species
GGCCUGUUAGCUCAGCUGGUUAGAGCGUGGUGCUAAUAACGCCAAGGUCGUUUGUUCGAUCCCCACAUGGGCCA